AACCUUCUUACAUAAUGCUAAAAGCUAACUUUUGCCACUGCUGCUGCUGUCGACUGCAUUGCCCACGAUUCUUGACUAUCAUUUUUUUUUGUUCCAAGGGAAAUGUAAUCUGGAACAGCUGCAGUGCUAUCAGCCAUUCCUGCUUUACUACAUUUUGCAUUAAUUACAGAAUCCCUUCCCCACAGAAGAUGCACACAGUUAAUGCAGUGUUCAGAGUUGUUUGUUUCGGUCUACAAAAUCACAACUAUUUGAGCAGACUAUUGAAAUCUUCAUCUUUAUUUUCAAUGUCACUUUUGACAUUAUGUUGUGUUUUUCUUUUUAGUGCUGGUAUUCACUGCCUCAUUUUGGCACAUGUAUUGAAC